rnacentral:rRNA from 1 species
AGUGAACGCUGGCGGUAGGCCUAACACAUGCAAGUCGAACGGCAGCACAGUAAGAGCUUGCUCUUACGGGUGGCGAGUGGCGGACGGGUGAGGAAUACAUCGGAAUCUACUUUUUCGUGGGGGAUAACGUAGGGAAACUUACGCUAAUACCGCAUACGACCUACGGGUGAAAGCAGGGGAUCUUCGGACCUUGCGCGAUUGAAUGAGCCGAUGUCGGAUUAGCUAGUUGGCGGGGUAAAGGCCCACCAAGGCGACGAUCCGUAGCUGGUCUGAGAGGAUGAUCAGCCACACUGGAACUGAGACACGGUCCAGACUCCUACGGGAGGCAGCAGUUGGGAAUAUUGGACAAUGGGCGCAAGCCUGAUCCAGCCAUACCGCGGUGGUGAAGAAGGCCUUCGGGUUGUAAAGCCCUUUUGUUUGGAAAGAAAAGCAGCAGGUUAAAACCCCGCUGUUCUGACGGUACCCAAAGAAUAAGCACCGGCUAACUUCGUG